AGCAGCCGCGGUAAUUCCAGCUCCAAUAGCGUAUAUUAAAGUUGUUGCAGUUAAAAAGCUCGUAGUUGAAUUUCGGGAUUGGCGCAUCGGUCGUGCCUUACGGGGUAUGAACUGGUGCAGUCAAUUUCUCACCUUCUGGAGAACCGCGAUGUCCUUAAUUGGGUGCCGCGGGGAACCAGGACCUUUACUUUGAAAAAUUAGAGUGUUUAAAGCAGGCAUUUUUGCUUGAAUACAUUAGCAUGGAAUAAUAAAAUAGGACGGCAUGGUUCUAUUUUGUUGGUUUCUUAGGACCACCGUAAUGAUUAAUAGGGAUAGUUGGGGGCAUUAGUAUUCAAUUGUCAGAGGUGAAAUUCUUGGAUUUAUUGAAGACUAACUACUGCGAAAGCAUUUGCCAAGGAUGUUUUCAUUAAUCAAGAACGAAAGUUAGGGGAUCGAAGACGAUCAGAUACCGUCGUAGUCUUAACCAUAAACUAUGCCGACUAGGAAUCAGACGAUGUUAAUUUUUUAAUGACUCGUUUGG
rnacentral:rRNA from 1 species